rnacentral:rRNA from 1 species
AACGAACGCUGGCGGCAUGCCUAACACAUGCAAGUCGAACGAGACCUUCGGGUCUAGUGGCGCACGGGUGCGUAACGCGUGGGAAUCUGCCCAAAGGUACGGAAUAACUCAGGGAAACUUGAGCUAAUACCGUAUGAUGCCGCAAGGCCAAAGAUUUAUCGCCUUUGGAUGAGCCCGCGUCGGAUUAGCUAGUUGGUGAGGUAAAGGCUCACCAAGGCGACGAUCCGUAGCUGGUCUGAGAGGAUGAUCAGCCACACUGGGACUGAGACACGGCCCAGACUCCUACGGGAGGCAGCAGUGGGGAAUAUUGGACAAUGGGCGAAAGCCUGAUCCAGCAAUGCCGCGUGAGUGAAGAAGGCCUUCGGGUUGUAAAGCUCUUUUACCCGGGAAGAUAAUGACUGUACCGGGAGAAUAAGCCCCGGCUAACUCCGUGCCAGCCGCCGCAGUAAUAC